rnacentral:rRNA from 1 species
CGGAGGAAAAGAAACCAACAGGGAUUGCCUCAGUAACGGCGAGUGAAGCGGCAACAGCUCAAAUUUGAAAUCUGGCUCUUUCAGGGUCCGAGUUGUAAUUUGUAGAAGAUGCUUCGGGUGUGGCUCCGGUCUAAGUUCCUUGGAACAGGACGUCAUAGAGGGUGAGAAUCCCGUAUGUGACUGGUUGCCUUCGCCCAUGUGAAGCUCUUUCGACGAGUCGAGUUGUUUGGGAAUGCAGCUCAAAAUGGGUGGUAUAUUUCAUCUAAAGCUAAAUAUUGGCCAGAGACCGAUAGCGCACAAGUAGAGUGAUCGAAAGAUGAAAAGCACUUUGGAAAGAGAGUUAAACAGUACGUGAAAUUGUUGAAAGGGAAGCGCUUGCAACCAGACUUGCGCGUAGUUGAUCAUCCGGGGUUCUCCCCGGUGCACUCGAUUGCGCUCAGGCCAGCAUCGGUUUGGGUGGUUGGAUAAAGGCCUUGGGAAUGUAGCUUCUUUCGGGGAGUGUUAUAGCCCUCGGUGCAAUGCAGCCUACCCGGACCGAGGACCGCGCUUCGGCUAGGAUGCUGGCGUAAUGGUUGUAAGCGACCCGUCUUGAAACACGGACCAAGGAGUCUAACAUUUAUGCGAGUGUUUGGGUGUUAAACCCAUACGCGUAAUGAAAGUGAACGGAGGUGAGAACCCUUAAGGGUGCAUCAUCGACCGAUCCUGAUGUCUUCGGAUGGAUUUGAGUAAGAGCAUAACUGUUGGGACCCGAAAGAUGGUGAACUAUGCCUGAAUAGGGUGAAGCCAGAGGAAACUCUGGUGGAGGCUCGCAGCGGUUCUGACGUGCAAAUCGAUCGUCAAAUUUGGGUAUAGGGGCGAAGACUAAUCGAACCAUCUAGUAGCUGGUUCUGCGA